rnacentral:rRNA from 1 species
GACGAACGCUGGCGGCGUGCUUAACACAUGCAAGUCGAACGGAAAGGCCCUGCUGUUGUGGUGUGCUCGAGUGGCGAACGGGUGAGUAACACGUGAGUAACCUGCCCUUGACUUUGGGAUAACUUCAGGAAACUGGGGCUAAUACCGGAUAGGAGCUCCUGCUGCAUGGUGUGGGUUGGAAAGUUUCGGCGGUUGGGGAUGGACUCGCGGCUUAUCAGCUUGUUGGUGGGGUAGUGGCUUACCAAGGCUUUGACGGGUAGCCGGCCUGAGAGGGUGACCGGCCACAUUGGGACUGAGAUACGGCCCAGACUCCUACGGGAGGCAGCAGUGGGGAAUAUUGCACAAUGGGCGGAAGCCUGAUGCAGCAACGCCGCGUGCGGGAUGACGGCCUUCGGGUUGUAAACCGCUUUCGCCUGUGACGAAGCGUGAGUGACGGUAAUGGGUAAAGAAGCACCGGCUAACUACGUG